rnacentral:lncRNA from 1 species
CUGGCAUUUAAAAAAAAAAAUCACAUCUUUCUUUCGUAUAAAAAAGAUUAUGCGCUGCUACAUACCCUUUGCUCUUCACAUGUAAAAAAUAACUUGAACAAGCUCAGGCGAAAUCAUUUUCUGAAUGUGUAGAAUGCAGAACCCUAAACACAAAUAACAGCUUUAACUUGGCUUCUGCUUUUAAGCAAAGGUGUUCCUGCCUUGUUUUUCAGAAUUAGAGCCACCUGCUGUAAUGUAGAGGGAGCUACUGAGCAACAGCUGCUGGUAAAAAGGAGUAGAAAGAAGGUUAAACUAGUGAGAACUGUAGAAGUCUCAGUUAUAAGCUCCAAAACAGCAGUAUGGAUCAUGCAGGUCGGUGGUCUGUGCUCCAGCUGGCCUCCUUCUCUUCCUCUAACAUGAUAAGAGCCAUAUGGGAAGGAGAUUGUAUCUUGAUGAUCGGACCAAGUCUUUCAUCAUUCUCUAGCAUGCUUCCCUUACAACCAAGAUCCAGUGGUGCAUGGCCGGACCUUGACUGAGCACAAUAAUUAUGAAGAGUUAGCCUGGUGUUGUCUGAUAGUCCAGCUUUUACGAAAAGUGCUUGUCUUCUACAUUUAAUUUAAAAGUACUUUCAGAGGGAGGAGCCUGUGCUGCUUCAGAAGGUGCACCUCUGCUGAUUUACAGAGCUUUAAGAAUCAUCCAUACUCUGAUGGGUAAAAUUGGCAAAAUUUAAGUUUGUAGAUGUACUGUGCCAGGUGAAAAAUGAUAUCUGCAUUGUUAUAUAAGAUGUCCCCGAUAGCAAUGUAACUCCCACAGGAAAAACUGUAAGCUGUCAAGUAACUCAAGAGUGGUGAUGUAAGUUCUCCCUUUAAAUUAAUGAUACUGAGAUAUUGGAAAUAAAGAACUGUAGUUGGACUGGUGAAGUAGCA